rnacentral:rRNA from 1 species
UACAGAGGUCUCAAGCGUUGUUCGGAUUCAUUGGGCGUAAAGGGUGCGUAGGUGGCGCUGUAAGUCAGGUGUGAAAUUUCGGAGCUUAACUCCGAAACUGCAUUUGAUACUGCGGUGCUUGAGGACUGGAGAGGAGACUGGAAUUUACGGUGUAGCAGUGAAAUGCGUAGAGAUCCGGAAGAACACCGGUGGCGAAGGCGGUCUGCUGGGCAGUAGCUGACACUGAGGCGCGACAGCGUGGGGAGCAAACAGG